UGUGAAGAAAAUUACACAUGAUUAUGAAUACUAUGAUCAUUCUAAUUGCGUUUGGAUUUAUUUGAGUGGGGUGGAUCUUACAAAAAUCAAAGAUAUUGUUUAAAAAAUGGUGCAGUAGAAACUGCAAGCCAAAUCGAAGGGACUCGUUAUAGAAAGCUAGACAAUCCUUAGGAGGUUCAGAAAUCUGACCUUUUGGAUCUGACACUACAUUUCACACUCGUCGGGUAUAUCAUAUUUUUUUCUAAGGGUUAUGAG
rnacentral:lncRNA from 1 species